UUAUCCUUGGACACCGAAGUCUCAGCCGUUCAAGCAUGUCCUGUACACAAUACACACUCACAGGAAGACUGACAGAUUAGUCCGGGGGGGAGAGAGAGUGUGUGUGCGCUCUUAUGGCCGCUAUGGAUGAUGAGAAAUUGCCAAGUGAAAGCCGAGGGAAGCCGAUUCGAUGCAGAGCUGCUGUGAGUCGCAAACCAGGUGAGCCUCUAGUGAUUGAAGAGAUCAUGGUGGCACCCCCGAUGCCUCAUGAAGUCCGUAUUCGAAUUAUAUGUACCUCUCUGUGUCAGACCGAUCUCUCCUUCUGGAAAAUGAAGGACUUCCCUGCAAUUUUCCCAAGAAUUCUUGGUCACGAAGCUAUUGGGGUUGUGUAGAGUGUUGGGGAGGAUGUCAAUGAGGUGACUGAGGGAGAUACCGUCAUCCCAACAUUCGUGUCAGAAUGUGGAGAGUGUGCAGAUUGUAAAUCGACAAGGAGCAACCUAUGUGCGAAAUUCCCCAGGCCCUCAAAUUUUAUGCCAAGAUACGGGACGAGCAGAUUCACGGACCUCAGUGGGGAGGUUUUAUACCAUUUCCUCUCCGUGUCUAGUUUUACUGAGUAUACAGUGGUAGACAUAGCCCAUAUCACAAAAAUUGACACUGCAAUACCCCCAAGCAGGGCCUGCCUCCUGAGCUGUGGAGUAUCGACCGGAGUUGGUGCUGCUUGGAGAACAGCAAAGGUGGAGAAGGGAUCAACCGUUGCUAUAUUUGGGCUGGGUUCAAUUGGAUUAGCUGUCGCGGAGGGAGCAAGACUUUGUGGAGCAGCUAGAAUUAUUGGCGUGGAUGUGAACCGAGACAAAUUUGAAAUUGGAAAAAAGUUUGGGCUCACUGACUUUGUCGACCCUGCGAAUUGUGAGAAUAAUUCUGUGAGCGAGAUGAUCAAGGAAAUGACUGGCGGGGGUGCAGACUAUUGCUUUGAAUGUGUUGGGCUGAUAUCACUGAUGCAAGAAGCUUACGCUUGCUGCCGAAAGGGUUCGGGAAAAACAGUUGUUUUAGGCAUGGACGGACCGGGCUCACAGGUGACUCUUCCCUCUCUUGAUAUCAUUUUUGGCAAAACCCUCACGGGAUCCUUAUUUGGAGGACUCAAACCUAAAUCUGAUAUCGCUGUCCUCAUCAAUCGAUAUAAGGACAAGGAACUACAACUUGAUGAGUUUGUGACACACGAGAUCAGGUUUGAAGAAAUCAACAAAGCUUUUGAUUUACUCAUUGAAGGGAAAUGUCUCCGAUGUGUAAUCUAUAUUACCAAUGAAUAACUUCUGUUAGAAACAGCCUGUACUUUAAUAUAAACUCUGGGCUAAUUAACAAUAAACAAGCAAAGGUUUCAGUGUUUAAGUAAAUACUCCUGUUUGAAAAAACCCUUAACCCAA